UGGCGGACGGGUGAGUAAUGUCUGGGAAACUGCCUGAUGGAGGGGGAUAACUACUGGAAACGGUAGCUAAUACCGCAUAACGUCGCAAGACCAAAGAGGGGGACCUUCGGGCCUCUUGCCAUCGGAUGUGCCCAGAUGGGAUUAGCUAGUAGGUGGGGUAAAGGCUCACCUAGGCGACGAUCCCUAGCUGGUCUGAGAGGAUGACCAGCCACACUGGAACUGAGACACGGUCCAGACUCCUACGGGAGGCAGCAUUG
rnacentral:rRNA from 1 species